AUUGAACGCUGGCGGCAGGCCUAAUACAUGCAAGUCGAACGCAGUGGGGACGGGUGCGUAACACGUGGGUAACCUCCCAUCAGAGGGGAUAACACUUGGAAACAGGUGCUAAACCGAUACUGAUGGAUGGACCCGCGGUGCAUUAGCUAGUUGGUGAGGUAACGGCUAACCAAGGCCACGAUGCAUAGCGGGCCUGAGAGGGUGAUCGGCCACACUGGGACUGAGACACGGCCCAGACUCCUACGGGAGGCAGCAGUAGGGAAUCUUGGGCAAUGGACGAAAGUCUGAUUGAGCAACGCCGCGUGAAGGAAGAAGGUUUUCGGAUCGUAAAACUCUGUUGGUAGAGAAGCGGUAUCUAACCAGAAAGCAACGGCUAACUACGUGCCAGCAGCCGCGGUAAUAC
rnacentral:rRNA from 1 species